AUCGCUUCUCGGCCUUUUGGCUAAGAUCAAGUGUAGAAUCCUUUCUUUAUCUGUGACCUUUGGGAGUUUGCUUAUUAAAUGUCUAGAGGUAAUCUUCUUUGGCUUAAAUCUGCUUGGUGUUCCAUAACCUUCUUGUACUUAAAUAUU
ensembl:snRNA U2 U2 spliceosomal RNA